GCGAAUCGCCCUUCGGGGUGCGCAGGCGCGAAAACUUUACAAUGCGGGAAACCGUGAUAAGGGGACACCGAGUGCCAGCAUCAUAUGCUGGCUGUCCAGGUGUGUAAAAUACACCUGUUAGCAAGGGCCGGGCAAGACCGGUGCCAGCCGCCGCGGUAACACCGGCGGCCCGAGUGGUGAUCGUGAUUAUUGGGUCUAAAGGGUCCGUAGCCGGUUUGGUCAGUCCUCCGGGAAAUCUGAUAGCUCAACUAUUAGGCUUUCGGGGGAUACUGCCAGACUUGGAACCGGGAGAGGUAAGAGGUACUACAGGGGUAGGAGUGAAAUCUUGUAAUCCCUGUGGGACCACCUGUGGCGAAGGCGUCUUACCAGAACGGGUUCGACGGUGAGGGACGAAAGCUGGGGGCACGAACCGGAUUAGAUACCCGGGUAGUCCCAGCCGUAAACGAUGCUCGCUAGGUGUCAGACAUGGCGCGACCGUGUCUGGUGCCGCAGGGAAGCCGUGAAGCGAGCCACCUGGGAAGUACGGCCGCAAGGCUGAAACUUAAAGGAAUUGGCGGGGGAGCA
rnacentral:rRNA from 1 species